GCCGAGUUGGGUAACUCCAGCUUGUAACCCAAGUGGGGGCAUUAAGGGUGACGGAACAUGGCUUAGGAUUUGCCAGGUUGGGUUGGAGGCUGCGACAUGUUGGCCUGCCCACUCCAAGUUGAGAGUUGAUCAAUGUAUCCUAGGCGAAGGCCUGAGAUUCAUUGGUCCUAGACAAGAGGGCACUGCGUCAGGCUGGCUUCACAGAGCAGCGAACACCUCUCCCUCUUGACAGUGGAGGGAUAACAGGCCUCUGCACUUUCCAGCCCACAAUGCCUGGUGAGCCUAGCCACUUGAACCAUCACUUUU
rnacentral:SRP_RNA from 1 species